rnacentral:misc_RNA from 1 species
UAUCAGCCGCUAUCAGGGCUUCAUCACGUUCGCCGGCGAAGGCAGCGAACUGACCACCAAUGGCGUCAAUCUGCUCGGCGCGCGCCGGCAUGGUGACACCACGCUGGUGGUCGAUCACGCGGUGCCGCACUGUUCCAGCCGCGAGGUGUUCCGCUCGGUGCUCGACGAUCGGGCCCAUUCGGUGUUCCAGGGACGCAUCAUCGUGCGUCCCGGUGCGCAGAAGACAGACGGCAAGAUGAUGACGCGCGCCUUGCUCCUGUCGGAUGAGGCCGAAGCGGACAACAAGCCCGAGCUCGAAAUCUUCGCGGAUGACGUGACCUGCGGUC